rnacentral:lncRNA from 1 species
GGGUCACUCCCCAGCACCACAGACACCUAUGUUUAUGGAGUGGAAUUAAGCCAGCAUGGCAGCAUUUGAAAAUGGCCUACCAGGGUAUGGGGAGGCCAGUGCAAUCUUCCAGAGGGCCUCUGGGUAGGGGAAGGGGGUUCUCUACCAGGGGUCGUGAGUCAGUCCCUCUUUCCAUGCUGUGCCGGCCUCAAGUCUGAGCUUUGCUUUUCCACAGGAAUGCACAAGUGAGGCCCCAAGGGUCACAGCUGUCACAGCCUCUGAUGCUGCUCAUCGCGGCUUUGUCGCCUGACCGGAGGACCUCAAGAGCGCGCUCCUUACAUGCACCUGUGCGUGGUUUUGACAGCUGUGGAAGGCGCAUCUCCUUUCGACCCAACCUUUAACUUUUUGUUUCUGACCUUUUUGUUGUGCCUGUGGUGACAACAUGUGUUGCUUAAUGAGCCAUUUUAAAGUGCACACAGCUCAGGGGCAUGUAGUAUGUUCACCGUGUGUGCAGCCACCAAUUCUCUGGUUAUACAACAUUUUUUUUUUUUUAGAGACAAAAGACCCAACGUGAAGGACGUAAGGAGGAUUUAUUUUGACUCCUGGUUUUGGUGGUUUCAGAUCACAGUUCUUAUCUCUAUUAAUUCUGGACCAUGGUAAGGCUGAACAUCAUUAUGGCAGGAGUGUGUGGCAGAGGAGGCUCAUCUAAUGAUGGGAAGGGGGAGGGGAGAGAGAGAGAGAGAGAGAGAGAGAGAGAGAGAGAGAGAGAGAGAGAGAGAGAGAGAGAGAAUGCCCUGGACAAGAUACCCCAGGUCCUACCUUCAGUGAUGAAUGUCCUACUGAUUCUAACCCCUAUAGUUUCCUUAGCCUCUUAAAUAGCAACACCACGUAGGGUCAAGGUCAACGUGCAAUACCAGAGCCUGUGGUUUCCUAUUCAAAUUCCAGGGCUUCCCCUCUGUGCAGCCUCUCUUUCCUUAUCCAGUCCUCUCCAGGUUUCUCCUGGCGCCCUUGCUUCAAGCCUUUGGUUUCCCAGCAAGGACCUCAGACAGAGAGAAGCUGUAUACAACAGGCUCACUUCUCUCA